rnacentral:lncRNA from 1 species
UCCGAAGAAUGCCUAAAAAUAAACUAUUAUGGCGCCAAAAGAACUGCCGAAGCACUUAUUUCAUUGCUGCAACUAUCCGACUUACCAAGGAUCGUAAAUGUUUCCUCCUCUGCAGUCAUGCUGGAGGUAGAAUCCCGAGUUCCUGUAAAAUCCCAUUUCAGAUCAUAAGCUUCAAAAACGGUUGAUGGAAAAGUUUCUUUGUUACAGGGUAAAUGUGAGAAGCUUAAAGGAGUGUUAACAGGUGUUACAACAGAGGAGAAACUGAAUGACUUGAUAACCGAGUAUCUAAAAGAUUUUAAGGAGGGCUUACAUGGAAGUAAAGGAUGGCCAGCCGUCGCCUCUGCCUAUACUGUCUCAAAAGUAGCACUUAAUGCCUACACAAGGAUUCUGGCAAACAAGUACCCAGAUUUCUGCAUCAACUCUGUUUGCCCAGGAUACGCCAAAACUGAUAUAAACC